rnacentral:rRNA from 1 species
UGUGUAUCAGUACAUGGCAUAUCAAUAAGCGGAGGAAAAGAAACUAACAAGGAUUCCCUUAGUAACGGCGAGUGAAGCGGGAAGAGCUCAAAUUUGAAAUCUUCAAGGUUUUACCUUGACGAAUUGUAGUUUAAAGAAGUGUUUUCUGUUGAAGUUUUGGUAAAAGUUCUUUGGAAUAGGACAUCAUAGAGGGUGAGAAUCCCGUAUUUGACCAUUAUUUUCAGCUGUGUGAUACACUUUCAAAGAGUCGGAUUGUUUGGGAAUGCAGUCCAAAAUGGGUGGUAAAUUUCAUCUAAAGCUAAAUAUUGGCGAGAGACCGAUAGCGAACAAGUACCGUGAGGGAAAGAUGAAAAGAACUUUGAAAAGAGAGUUAAACAGUACGUGAAAUUGUCAAAAGGGAAGCGUUUGACACCAGUGUUGUUUUCUCGAAAAUCAAUUAAAAAUGAUGGGAUUUUGUGUUGUAUUGACUUUAUCAGCUUUCUGCACUUUUUUCCUUAUCUUUUUUAAUGCACUUUUCGUUUAACAAGUCAACAUCAAUUUCUUUUGUUGUAAAAGAGUCAUUGGAAGGUGGCUUUCUUUUCGGAGAAAGUGUUUAUAGCCUUUGGCCUCUGCAAUCGGAGAGAUUGAGGUCUGCAGCGUAGAUCCUUCGGGGUUAGAUACAUUUGUGCUAAGUUAUAGCCUUUCAUAGACAACUUGUUGACUAUGAUCAGUCAUGUAGCUUACUCGCUUAUGUCAUUUUACCUACGCUUAGGAUGUUGACAGCAGUAUAGACUGU